ensembl:ncRNA C29E6.14 ncRNA
UACGGAUAAGGUUAGGAUGGACAGUAUUGCGCACGCAACCGAUCGAGACGACACGGCCUUGACACGCAACAAAAACUUCUUUUCGGGAUGAUGCCGUACAAGGAGGCGGAUGAAGAAAACCGACGAGUUGAAAAGAAGAUGAUGACA